rnacentral:rRNA from 1 species
GACGUAGGGCGCGAGCGUGUCCGGAUUUAUUGGGCGUAAAGAGCUCGUAGGCGGCUUGUCGCGUCGUCUGUGAAAUCCCGCGGCUCAACUGCGGGCUGCAGUCGAUACGGGCAGGCUGGAGUUCGGUAGGGGAGACUGGAUUCCUGGUGUAGCGGUGAAAUGCGCAGAUAUCAGGAGGAACACCGGUGGCGAAGGCGGGUCUCUGGGCCGAUACUGAC